rnacentral:lncRNA from 1 species
GGAUAUCAGAAACACGGCUGACAUGAGCGCUGGGGGUUCAGAGAGGAGUUAUAGCCUGAGUUAUAUCCUUCUGGGGUGGAGCUGCAGGUGGUUUACAUAUAGCAGCACAGGCUUUGGCCUUAGGUCGGCAGUGAGACAGUAAGUUGCUGGGCUUUCUAAAUUUGUAUUUGCACCAAUGCAUGGAGUUAGUUUAAAUGAUGUGGAUUAUAGUAUGACACAGACUAGGAAUAGUGGGUGAUACAGAACCAGAUGCUCAUUUGAAGAAACCAAGACAGAAACUUUUUGCUGCUGCUGUUAACACCUGGAUAACUUUUCACCUGGUCAUUGAUGAGGAAGACUUGUUAACUUCAGAACUUUCUUUACUGAGGCCCUACACUGACAGUGAGCCUUAAGGAAAACAACUCUGAGGACUUUUGUCACGGACUUGAAAUUCUCAUCUGUGCUUGGACAAGACUCUGAAACAUACCAACUGUGUAUUUUCCUGCCUUUGGUAAAUCUGGAGCUAUUAACUGA